rnacentral:rRNA from 1 species
UACGUAGGGUGCAAGCGUUGUCCGGAAUUAUUGGGCGUAAAGAGCUCGUAGGCGGUCUGUCGCGUCUGCUGUGAAAACCUAGGGCUUAACUCUGGGCGUGCAGUGGGUACGGGCAGGCUAGAGUGCGGUAGGGGAGACUGGAAUUCCUGGUGUAGCGGUGAAAUGCGCAGAUAUCAGGAGGAACACCGAUGGCGAAGGCAGGUCUCUGGGCCAUAACUGACGCUGAGAAGCGAAAGCAUGGGGAGCGAACAGG